AAGGCCAAUGAUGAAUAUCUAGGGGUGUCUGUAUCAAGCAUUUUGAUUAAACCCUGUAACUCUGAGAUCCAU